UACAUGCAAGUCGGACGGGAUCUAGAUCUAAGCUUGCUUAGAUUUAGUGAGAGUGGCGCACGGGUGCGUAACGCGUGAGCAACCUACCCAUAUCAGGGGGAUAGCCCGGAGAAAUCCGGAUUAACACCGCAUGACACAACGACUCGGCAUCGAGAUGUUGUUAAAUAUUUAUAGGAUAUGGAUGGGCUCGCGUGACAUUAGCUAGUUGGUAAGGUAACGGCUUACCAAGGCUACGAUGUCUAGGGGCUCUGAGAGGAGAAUCCCCCACACUGGUACUGAGACACGGACCAGACUCCUACGGGAGGCAGCAGUAAGGAAUAUUGGUCAAUGGAGGGAACUCUGAACCAGCCAUGCCGCGUGCAGGAUGACUGCCCUAUGGGUUGUAAACUGCUUUUGUCCAGGAAUAACCACCACUACGUGUAGUGGCUUGAAUGUACUGGAAGAAUAAGGAUCGGCUAACUCCGUGCCAGCAGCCGCGGUAAUACGGAGGAUCCGAGCGUUAUCCGGAUUUAUUGGGUUUAAAGGGUGCGUAGGCGGCUCAUUAAGUCAGGGGUGAAAGACGGCAGCUCAACUGUCGCAGUGCCUUUGAUACUGAUGAGCUUGAAUGUGGUUGAAGAUGGCGGAAUGAGACAAGUAGCGGUGAAAUGCAUAGAUAUGUCUCAGAACUCCGAUUGCGAAGGCAGCUGUCUAAGUCAUUAUUGACGCUGAUGCACGAAAGCGUGGGGAUCGAACAGGAUUAGAUACCCUGGUAGUCCACGCCCUAAACGAUGAUAACUCGAUGUUGGCGAUACACAGUCAGCGUCUUAGCGAAAGCGUUAAGUUAUCCACCUGGGGAGUACGCCCGCAAGGGUGAAACUCAAAGGAAUUGACGGGGGCCCGCACAAGCGGAGGAGCAUGUGGUUUAAUUCGAUGAUACGCGAGGAACCUUACCCGGGCUUGAAAGUUACUGAAUUAUCUAGAGAUAGAUAAGUCCUUCGGGACAGGAAACUAGGUGCUGCAUGGCUGUCGUCAGCUCGUGCCGUGAGGUGUUGGGUUAAGUCCCGCAACGAGCGCAACCCCUAUGUUUAGUUGCCAGCAUGUAAUGAUGGGGACUCUAAACAGACUGCCAGCGUAAGCUGUGAGGAAGGUGGGGACGACGUCAAGUCAUCAUGGCCCUUACGUCCGGGGCUACACACGUGCUACAAUGGAUGGUACAGCGGGCAGCUACCUGGUAACAGGAUGCUAAUCUCGAAAAGCCAUUCACAGUUCGGAUUGAGGUCUGCAACUCGACCUCAUGAAGUUGGAUUCGCUAGUAAUCGCGUAUCAGCAAUGACGCGGUGAAUACGUUCCCGGGCCUUGUACACACCGCCCGUCAAGCCAUGAAAGUUGGGGGUGCCUAAAGCAUGUAACCGCAAGGAGCG
rnacentral:rRNA from 1 species